rnacentral:rRNA from 1 species
AAUCAACGCUGGCGGCGUGCCUCAGACAUGCAAGUCGAACGAUUAAAGCUCUCUUCGGAGAGUGCAUAGAGUGGCGCACGGGUGAGUAACACGUAAGUAAUCUACCCUCGAGUGGGGAAUAACGUCCGGAAACGGGCGCUAAUACCGCAUAAUGCAGCGGCAUCAUAAGAUGACAGUUGUUAAAGAUUUAUCGCCUGAGGGGGAGCUUGCGGCAGAUUAGCUAGUUGGUAAGGUAACGGCUUACCAAGGCUACGAUCUGUAACCGGUCUUAGAGGACGGUCGGUCACACUGACACUGAAUAACGGGUCAGACUCCUACGGGAGGCAGCAGUGGGGAAUCUUGCGCAAUGGCCGAAAGGCUGACGCAGCGACGCCGCGUGGGGGAUGAAGGCCUUCGGGUUGUAAACCCCUGUUGCUCGGGACGAACAACACCAUUCGUGGUGUCUGACGGUACCGGGUGAGGAAGCACCGGCUAACUCUGUGCCAG